rnacentral:rRNA from 1 species
UUUAACGGCCGCGGUAUCCUAACCGUGCAAAGGUAGCGUAAUCACUUGUCCCUUAAAUAGCGACCAGUAUGAACGGCUAAAUGAGGGUGAAUCUGUCUCCUUUAACAAAUCAGUGAAACUGAUCUACCAGUACAAAAGCUGGUAUAACCCCAUAAGACGAGAAGACCCUGUGGAGCUUUAAAUUUAAACCAAGCAACUAAAAUACAAGUCUAGUUAUGGCUUAAAAUUUUAAGUUGGGGCGACUUCGGAAAAAAACUAAACUUCCGAGCAUAAGACAAAAUCUUACCAAGACAUACAAGUCAAAUCUAAAAUUGACCCAGUAUAACUGACAACCGAACCAAGUUACCCCAGGGAUAACAGCGCAAUCUUCUUCAAGAGUCCCUAUCGACAAGAAGGUUUACGACCUCGAUGUUGGAUCAGGACACCCAAAUGGUGUAGCCGCUAUUAAAGG